GCCCGAGUAGCUCAAUGGCUAGAGCGCCGCUCUUGUAAAGCGGAGGUUGUGGGUUCGACUCCCACCUUGGGCU
rnacentral:tRNA from 2 species